rnacentral:rRNA from 1 species
UUAUGCUGUUAUCCCUAAAGUAAUUGAUUUUAUUAUUUUAAAAUUUAAAAUAUUUAUUUCAUUUAUAAAUGUUUUUUUUAAAAAAAUUAUAUUAAUUUUUUAAUUACCCCAAUUAAAUUAUUAAUUUAUAAUUAUAUUUAAUUUAUAAUAUUUAUUAUAAUUUAAUAAUAAAAUUUUAUAGGGUCUUAUCGUCUUUUAAUUUUAUUUAAGUUUUUUUACUUAAAUAAUAAAUUAAAUUAUUUAAUUUAAUAAAGUAUAUAUUUCAUUAAAUCUUUUAUUCUAGUUUUUAAUUAGAAAACAAAUUAUUAUGCUACCUUUGUACAGUUAUUUAUACUGCAGCCAUUAAAAAAAAUUCAUUGGGCAGAU